rnacentral:rRNA from 1 species
CUGGCUCAGGAUGAACGCUGGCGGCGUGCCUAAUACAUGCAAGUCGAGCGAACAGACGAGGAGCUUGCUCCUUUGACGUUAGCGGCGGACGGGUGAGUAACACGUGGGUAACCUACCUAUAAGACUGGGAUAACUUCGGGAAACCGGAGCUAAUACCGGAUAAUAUUUCGAACCGCAUGGUUCGAUAGUGAAAGAUGGCUUUGCUAUCACUUAUAGAUGGACCUGCGCCGUAUUAGCUAGUUGGUAAGGUAACGGCUUACCAAGGCAACGAUACGUAGCCGACCUGAGAGGGUGAUCGGCCACACUGGAACUGAGACACGGUCCAGACUCCUACGGGAGGCAGCAGUAGGGAAUCUUCCGCAAUGGGCGAAAGCCUGACGGAGCAACGCCGCGUGAGUGAUGAAGGUCUUCGGAUCGUAAAACUCUGUUAUUAGGGAAGAACAAACGUGUAAGUAACUGUGCACGUCUGAC